rnacentral:tRNA from 1 species
CAGGGUAUAGUUCAAGUGGUCGAGCACAUGCUUAGCAUGCAGGAGGCCCUGGGUUCAAUCCCCAGUACCCUCU